CCCGCUGAAUUUAAGCAUAUCAAUAAGCGGAGGAAAAGAAACUAACAAGGAUUCCCCUAGUAACAGCGAGCGAACCGGGAUCAACCCAGCUUGAGAAUCGGGCGACCUCCAUCAUCCGAAUUGUAGUCUGUAGAAACGUCCUCAGCAACGGACCGGGCCCAAGUCCCCUGGAAGGGGGCGCCAGAGAGGGUGGAGCCCCGUCGUGCCCGGACCCUAUCGCACCACGAGGCGCUGUCAGCGAGUCGGGUUGUUUGGGAAUGCAGCCCCAAUUGGGCGGUAAAUUCCGUCCAAGGCUAAAUACUGGCDAGAGACCGAUAGCGAACAAGUAUCGUGAGG
rnacentral:ncRNA from 1 species